GCUGAACCCAGAUGGAUUAAGAAAUUUUUGUCCUUGUUCAUCUACGUUCCACAAUAGAUCAGUACCACUAACCUCAUGAAUGAAGUCAUUAGGCCUUUGCCCUUGAAUUAAUAUUGAUGCUGAUGAAUUAUCAAUGAAAGGAUAGUUAUUUGCCGUGGCAAAGGUAGUGGUGGUGGCCGCAUCAGCAAAAUCUGUUGGCUGGGUCGGGUUGCAUUGCUGCAUAGGUGGGGAUGAUGAUGCCAAGCUACUCAAUCCCUCUAUACUGUUGACCAUCAAUGCAUCUAGAUCCA
rnacentral:misc_RNA from 1 species